GCCGGGAGCCGCUGGGCCCAGCCCAGCUCCUGCCAGGGCCGCAGGGCCUGGACAGGGGAACGGGAGGCCAGCUGGAGCUCUGUCACCUUUCACAGCCAGGGAACAAAGAGAACAAGAGAGCUCUGACUUUACAUUUUAAGGUUUCCACGUAAAGGAGGGAUGAUAUCCUUAAUAUUGAGCAUGUUAAGAUCUAAAACUUGGGGUCCAUCUCAAAAAACACUAUGAGGACAAGAAGAAACGGGGUAACUAGAGCCAAGAGAGGAGAGCCACUUUCAGCAACAGAAGAGACUCUGAAGCCAGGAAGUGAGAUAUUUCAGGAAAAUUAAUCUGACACAGAGGUCCACACUGAGAUAUACUCAGACUUUGUGAAGGCAAAAAGUAAUUUCAAAAUGGGCAAUAAAUUGCUGCUAUUCCUAAAAAAUCAUUCACUCUACUUCCAUCAUCAUCUGCUAGUCCUCACAUACUCUUCCUGUUCUCAGUCCAUUACCUUGCCAAAACCAUGUUUCAUUUUAAACCACCACAAGACACAGUGGGGGUGGAAAUAAGAGCCAGGGAAAAGCAAGGAGGUGUUAAGAUUGCUGCUUUUGAUGCUUCAUGGCUUCCAUCUCCUAAGUGUGGUUGUAUAAGUACAGCCUGGGAGGAGCUGGGAGAAGAGACUGAAGAGAAUAAUAAUGGGUAUGAGAUAAUGGAAAAAAUGAGAUGCAAAAUGAGAGAAGUCUGGCCAGAAUUUUUGGGAGCUAUUGACCUGUUUAAAAGCAUACUACAGCAGAAGUGGUCAUUGAAUAAGGUGAGUUAUUUUAAUUGUAUUGAGGAAUUUCAGUGCAGUUUCAAAUAAUGGGAUGUAGCUCUGUGAUCGUUUUGAACUACAUCUAGAUGAGCUCUUUGCACAUAACUGUGAAAUCAGGAAGAAACACAUAAUUUCAUAAUAAUAAUUAGCUGAAAACUUGGACUUCACAUCUGCUUUUGAAAACUAUCACCACAUAAUCAAUAUAGGAAGGUUAUAAACACGGAAGAUAACCAUGAAAUGAAAGGUAUAUAAAUGUGUCCAGUUUUGAGAUCUUCAUUCUGAAAAUGUGCUGCUGCUUUGAAUUGCAGUCAAAAUCUCUGCAAUUAAGGUGUGACAUGCCCUUCUGGUAAUAAAGUUUUCCAAAUUAUAUUAGAAGCAUGUGAUUCUCUUACAGAAUCACAUGAGCCUACAAUUUAAAUCCUGAAGUAUCAUGUUUGAAUUACAGUUUGUUAAUUUAACUUUAAUUAGAAAAUCACCUUAAAGUUUAUGUCCACUUUUAAUGACAAGAAGCCUUCAAAGCUUCCACUCAAUUGGUCUUACUUAUUUAGUAGUCAGAUGCAUUUAAAUUUUAUAAAUCCAUUAUC